rnacentral:hammerhead_ribozyme from 1 species
AUCCGACUGUCAAGUCCUAAAUAGGACGAAACGCGCGUCCUGGAU